rnacentral:rRNA from 1 species
ACGAACGCUGGCGGCUGCUUAACACAUGCACGUCGAACGGAGUGGCGAACGGGUGCGUAACGCGUGAUCAACCUGCCUAUGACAGUGGGAUAGCCUCGGGAAACCGGGAUUAAUACCGCAUAGUCGUAGAUGGGCUCGCGUCUGAUUAGCUAGUUGGUGAGAUAACAGCCCACCAAGGCGACGAUCAGUAGCCGGUCGGAUAUGAGGAACGGCCACAUUGGAACUGAGACACGGUCCAAACUCCUACGGGAGGCAGCAGGGGGGAAUAUGGCACAAGGGGGGAAACCCUGAUGCAGCGACGCCGCGUGAACGAAGAAGGUAUGCGUAUCGUAAAGUUCUGGCCUAUGGGAAGCAGUACCAUAGAAGAAAGCUCCGGCUAAAUACGUGCCAGCAGCCGCGGUAAUUC